UCCAUAAUAGUCAUUUCUAUCCAUAUGCAGCACUUUGAGUCCAUCGACGGAGAGUAAACCGCUGAGUAUGCAUUCUUUGAGACCAGUUCCAAGAACAACGACGUCGUACUCUUCAUCCAUGUAUGCAAGAAGGGAAGAUGAAAACAAAAAUGCAGAGAGAGAAGUGAAAGAGAUCAGAAAGAAAGAAGAAUGGUUGUGGAUGGAGAAGAAAGAAAGCAGGCCUAUAGCUAGCGGGAACUCCCUUCUUCUUCGGUUAAUUCCG
rnacentral:misc_RNA from 1 species